AUUACCCUAAUUACUAAGUACUCCAUUUACCCAUUUAUCCUUCUAUAAACAUAUAGAGAAUGUUAAAAAUUGAGAAUGGAACGAUUUUUAAUAGGUCUCAAUAUCAUUUCACUGAUUAUUAUUUAUUUUUUUGAAAUACCAAUUUUUUUUUAGGAGAUAUAUACGAGUCGUCAUCAGCUGGAGGAAUAUCUAUAUUUUUUUUUAUAUUAAAAUAGAUACUUCUAUCAAGUAAAUGAACUUUUUUUAAAAAAGUACGAGUGACGCCCCGUGACUUUGUAAUUUGAAUGUUGUCGAUUGUGGUCACCAAGCAACCACCCUUACACCUCCAUAAACACGAUAUACCGAUCUGUCAAAUGUUGAGGGAAGCAAGGUGGUUUUUUAUUCAUUUCAAACCAUUCGGAUGUAUACGAGAUAUGUGAAUGUGCCGUGUAGAGUGUGCGCUCCUUCAUCUCGUGCUGUUAAAUUCUCGUGCGCACUUCAAUUUUAUCUCAUUGCAAACGAAAAACAAAAAUACAUAUUGUGUGGAUUCAUGCUGUAGCCCAGAAUACCCAGCAUAAAAAAAUAUGUCCGGGAAGAGCAAUGGGGAGAAAUUGGCGGAAAUUGAUAAUCAUGUCACCAAGCAGUACAAUAUCAUUCGUCGGCUUGGAAAAGGGGCAUAUGGAAUCGUGUGGAAGGCGGUGGAUAAACGAUCCAAGGAGACCGUAGCUGUGAAGAAGAUCUUCGAUGCCUUCAGGAAUCAAACUGAUGCCCAGCGAACGUUCCGGGAGAUCAUGUUCCUCAUGUCUUUCUCCAAUCACGAGAAUAUCAUUCAACUCAUCGGUUUACAUAAGGCCAACAACGAUCGAGAUAUUUAUUUGGUUUUUGAAUACAUGGAGACGGAUCUGCAUAAUGUCAUCAAAAGGGGAAACAUUCUGAAAGACAUCCAUAAAAUCUACAUUAUGUAUCAGCUGUUCAAAGCAACGAAGUACAUUCACUCGGGUAAUGUAAUACACCGAGACUUGAAGCCGUCGAACAUUCUUCUGAAUGCUCAAUGCCACUGCAAAAUAGCUGACUUUGGUCUGGCAAGAUCUGUCACACAAAUUGGAGAAGGUGAUGGUGAAGCCGGUAGUGAUCCAACCUUGACGGAUUACGUGGCGACAAGGUGGUACCGAGCACCAGAAAUUCUCAUCGCUUCCCGAAGGUACACUAAAGGCAUUGACAUGUGGUCACUGGGGUGUAUUCUCGGUGAAAUGCUCCUGGAGAAGCCACUGUUCCCCGGUUCCUCGACGAUCAAUCAGGUGGAGCGAAUAAUGGCUACUCUGCCUCCUCCUACUCCAGAGGAUAUCGCAUCCGUCAGCGCAGGAUAUGGAACUAAUCUCCUGGAGAAGACGCCCAAUGUGCCCCGUCGGAGUCUACGGGAGUUGUUCAUUAAUUUCUCGGACAGCGCUCUAGAUCUAAUCAAUAGUUUAAUUGUGUUCAAUCCUAAUCACCGGUUGACAGCGGUUGAAGCUUUGGAGCAUCCAUAUGUCGCUGACUUCCAUCAUCGGGCAUAUGAGCCUGAACGUGGUGCAAGUGUCAUUCCACCCCUGCGAGACGACGUGCAGCUGUCCGUUGACGAGUACAGGAAUAAACUCUACACAAUGAUGGAUGAAAAACAUCGGAAGAGCAAAAAUACGAUAAAACACAAAUUUUCCGGUAGGUCCAAGUCUAGAAUUCGUCGGCUAUCGGAUCACAUGAGGAAAGAACCGGGGAAUGCACUAUCCCGAGAGGUUCUGCCGAAGAAUAAUUUUCACACAUCCAGUGAUGAUGUACGAAGGGACAAACCCGAGGCCUUCAAACAUCCACAGGUUGAAGGGAGAAAUGUAAUUUCUCAAUACGCCCACAACCUGAUCAACGGAAAUUUCCGGAAUCUACCCCCAGGACACGCCAAAAGCUGUCAGUGCCUCAGUCAGUCCCCGCAGCAGAUGAACAACAAAUCCCAGAGAUCGUUUCAAUCGGAGCAAGCGGCUGUGACUGGUGGAGGGAAUAAGUGGAAUUCUGGAAUUCAACCUAGACUGAGGAGAGGUAAUAAACCAGCGGUGAACAGAAAUUCUCAAAAAUCCAUUCCACCUAGACACUCGAUAGCAAAACGACCGACCCAGGAGAGUCUAAAUCAUCACCCCGAGUAUUUAAUCACGAAAAUGCCAAAUAACAUAACUAAACACUUUGCAUCAAGUGAUCCAGUAUCGCAGAGUGAUUCGUCGCAGAGUCAGAUAAUUCAGAAUUACCUGAAUCAAACGAUGCCAAUGCAAACUAGAUCAGCUGUUGGACGACGUACAAAUGUCAAUGAUACAGUGACAGGGGGAUUAAAGCUCACACGUAGUCAAAUGCUCAAGAAUCAUCUCAGGCACAGUGCCAUACAGAAAUCAGUCACAAAUCAGAGAACCAUGCGUUCACUGGGUAGUUACAGUCAGAAUCAUGGCAUUAUCACAGCAUCAGCGUACAAGGAUCUCAAGAGUGGAAGUAUCCAGUGGUAAUUUUCGAUGAUCCAUGGAAAAUUGUAGGACCUAGUCACUCCGAAAGACUGAGAUCAAUCAUAAAUUCAGUGUAAAUACGUCGAGGGGAAUAUAUUUCUGUUUGUACGUAGAUUUAUGUUACUCUUCAUUUAAUCACGAUGAUUAUCUAGGUGAUGUAAUGAUGCAGAAGACCGAUUGAUCAUUGAUAACUGUUGAUUUGCCAAAAUCUACGUUUGUAAUUUCAAUAAUUACAAUAGCUAUUGGAACAUUAAUAGGGGAAAUUUCAUUGAAAAUUGAUAAUCAUUAAUGGCCACAUGCGUUCACUAUUAAUGUGAUUUUUUAAGCAUCUAUACAAAUAUUUAUUGCAAACCAUUUCGACUGGAUUAAUAUACAAAUUAUAUAUAGGGAAAAGAUAUAUAGGGGUUUGAAAUAUUUGAAAUAUUCACGGUUGAUGU